UACGUAGGGUGCGAGCGUUGUCCGGAAUUAUUGGGCGUAAAGGGCUCGUAGGCGGUUUGUCGCGUCGGGAGUGAAAAUCCACUGGCUUAACUGGUGGCUUGCUUUCGAUACGGGCAGACUGGAGGUAUGCAGGGGGAGAACGGAAUUUCCUGGUGUAGCGGUGAAAAUGCGCAGAUAUCAGGAGGAACACCGGUGGCGAAAGGCGGUUCUCUGGGGCCUUACCUGACGCUGAGGGAGCGAAAAAGCGUGGGGGAGCAAAACAGG
rnacentral:rRNA from 1 species